GAAAAAGUGAUCAUAUUUCCAUACACUUUCCCAUCUACAGCUCAAUGCUGCUCGUAGAGACACAGAAGGAGUGGGUGAGACUAAGAUGCUUCAUGUGGACAUGGUUGCUGAGGACACCCAGCUGCUGGUAUUCAGCAGUUAACUGGGGCUACAGUCCAGCAGCCCCCACAGCAGUGGGCACAGUCAGCAGCAAUCCGGGUGUCAGCCCCUCUCUGCAAGGAUUGGGGGCCAGAUGCUCCCUCCCUGGAAGCCACAUCAACGACAGACCACUGCUCUACUGAGAAUUCAAUAAAGAC
rnacentral:lncRNA from 1 species